rnacentral:lncRNA from 1 species
CAUGCGCCGGCCUCUUUCGCGCCGCAUGUUGCCGAACGUCGGCUUUCGUCAGCCUCACUCUCGGCGGCAUACCUGCAAUUUCAACAGAGGAUCAGCACCAGCAAAAAAAAAAGGAAGAAGAGACGACAGACCGAGGUGUACCUAGACGAGGAAUCGAGCUCAGACCGACGUCAUACAGAGCUUGCUCGGUGACAAGCUCCCUCUGCUUCGACAUCGAGAUAUCCUUCAAACGAUGAAAAUCCUCUCGAUCCCCGUCCUCCACCUGACUAUUCUCAUUC